AUGGCUCAACCUUUCUCACCCUUACCUUCUGCACUUAUCUCCUCCCAAUCGUUAUCUCCGUUUCAAAUCCCCUGUUCUUUUUGUGAUGCCGCAUCGAUCUCCGAUCAAUCGAUACACCAUGUUUUUCAAUCGCUUCUCAAUCUUUGCGCCUCCGAUUCCGUCUCAGUUUUGUCUCAGCCUCAACAUCGUCUCAGCCUAUAUCGGAACCUCGCAGAUAACACGAAGCGAUCAGAGUUUGUUUGA